UUGGCUGAGUUCCCCCUCACGUGGUGGUUUGGCGUGAAGUGAACCCUAAGCUUUACCCUAGGAGAUACCCUACGCGCCUCUCCGUUCGAGGUAAGAAUAUAAUGGGGUUUACCGUGCCCCUCUAAAAGGCUGGUCCACAGAAACCCCCUACUGCAGUGAUUAAUUAAUAUAUAAUCCACCAUAUAAUAAAACUCAAUAACAUGAUAUGGCAAUUUUGUAAUUCGUAGUUUUUCAAGGUAACCAAACAAUUCGCAUUUCAAUACAAUUGCCAACUAGCCAAUCAUGCUCGAUUUAUCAUAAGCCAGUUAAUUUAAACAAUCAAAUUGCCACAAUUAACAGUCUCCGUGUACUCUAUUUUUCAAAAUCACUAUUAAUUUCAAAACAAUUUAUAAUUUAAUUUCAUUGAAACUCAUUUAUUCAUAAAACAUGAAAAUUUAUCUUUUUAAAUUCCUUUUUCCAUAGAAUUCAUGAAAGCAUCUAAAAACCACCCUAGAUAAUUAAAAUGACAGUAAGUUUACUCACAAUGUCUAGAAUGCAGACUUUCGAAGCACUCUGUCUACUGGUCCUCGGAUGCAAUUUCCUUGCCUUUAUCGGAGGACUCACCACCUUGACACAGUACAAAAUCGAGAGUUUCACCAAGUUGGUACUAAAUCAAAAUUAAACUAAUUUAGACUACCAAUGCAUGAUAUGGAAUGCAAAAAUGCACUGGUAACUAUCUAAACCCGGUAUUGGCCUAAUUCGUCUUAUCACCCGAUUAAAUUCCUAACGGGUCCGUUUAAACUCCAAUUUAAUUCUUUUCAGUUUCUAUACCUCAAUUGCACCCAAAUUAACUUAAUGUCCCUCAGUGUGGUGCAAAUUAUCAGUCCCAACAGCAAAUUACGAAAAUACCCCUAGUGGGUAAAAAUUCGUAUUUUUGCUCCGAAAAUUCCCAUUAUUUUUCUAGGCUCAUAAUUCAUCAUUCCUUAACCAAUUCUCCUAGAAUAAAAUCAAACUCAUCCUCACUCACUACAUGGUAAAUUCAGCCAUUAAUGGUUGGGGGAGAAAAUAAAUUCUUUUCUUGUUGUUUUGUUUCUAAAUAUGCUAAACUAACUAAAAACACUAACAUAAAUUAAAAUCAAAUAAAUCCAACAACUUUCUCUCUCCUAACCCAUUUUUUCAGAAUUGAAUUCAUCAUGAAAACAUGUAAUUUAAUCAUGGAAAAUAAAGAGAAAUGCUUGGGAAUAAGAAAACUCAAGCUUAAUAGAAAAAAUCUCACCUUUUUCACUUAAUUUCCUUGAAAAUUCACACUUUUUCUUUGAUUUUCUCUCUCUAGGGUUUUGUUUUUUUUUUCUCUCUCUUCUUGCUGGUUUGGCCGGCCAUGGGGUGGAAGAUGGGCUGAUUUUGUGCCUUUUAAAAAGGAAAAUAAUAAAUUAAUAAAGGCAUGACACAUGGCAUCAUGUCAUUGGCCCGUUUUUAAAAUUUUAAAAAUUUAAACAUUUUAUCUCCACCACAUGUUUAGUCAAGGGUCAAAGAUGAAGACAAAGGAAGACCAUGUGCUGGAAAAAAUAUCCUGGUGGUGGAAAAUUACAAUUUUGCCCCUGAGGUGGCAAAAUUACCAUUUUACCCCUAUACUCCAAAUUAUACCGAAAUUAAAAUUUUUCACUUCUAAACCUCAAAUCAUACUUCAAUAAGUCAAAUUAUACUCUAAUAAGUCAAAUGGGGUCAAAAAAAUCUUUUCUAAAAUUUCCAUUUUGUCCCCAGGUGGCAAAUGACCAUUUUACCCCUAGAUAGUGAAAAUUUCGAUUCGACUCCAAAUUGAUCCUUAAACUUCGAAUUACCAUUUUGAGUCAUCCUUGGACUGUGACACUCUUAAUUUCACCUUAAAAUUCCUAUUUGAUCUAGUUCGAGGAUUAAAUCAACUUUGUUGUGCCUCUAGGUACAAUACCGACUUUUAUAAAUUUUUCGGGACUCUCUUAGCAUGCAAUCAUGCUAUCAUCACAGGUAUGUCAUGAAUUGUAUUUUAUAAGGUCGACCUUUACAUCAAAGCACCCCCUUUCUUUUUUCAAAGAAAAUCAACCAUUGUAUUUGCAAUGAGAGCGCAAUCCAGAAUCUACCUACCUUGAACAAAGGCAAAUUGAUAACUUCCUACCACCCCUUAAUUAAUUUUCUAAGUCAAUUAAAUAUGAGUUUGGAAAUAAUUUUGUAUAUACUCCGUACUAAACUAAUUCAUCUGUAAUCACCCACUCUACUAGGAUUAGUCACUUUAGGAAUUAAUGAAAUGAAGCUUUCAUCAAUUCCAUGACCCAACUUCCCUAAAUAAUAAAAAUCAGUCACACAAAACAUUACCUCAUUUUUCACAAUUUGCCAUUGAGUUGUAAGAAAGUUAAAUUUAAAACCAUUGGGGUCAAGAGCUUUAUCCCUAUCAGAAUCUUUAAUAAUUCCCCAGACUUCAUCUUUAAAGAAAGGAGAUUCCAAUGCAACCACCGCCUCAUCUGAUAAGUUUUUAAUCCCACAACACAAGUCAUCUAGUUUCAGUGUCUUUCUAUCAUAAUAGAGUUUUUGAAAAUCCUUAUAAAUUUCUUUUUAAUGAGAAUCAGAUCAUCAAUCAACCAUUGAUUCACGUUAAUACUUGUUACUCUAUUAAUCUGUUUUCUUUCAACUACGAAUGCAUGGAAAUAUUUUGUGUUUUUGUCCCCUUCACAAAUCCACUCACUUUUGCAUUGCUAAUUCCAUUUUUGCUCCUCUCCUCUAUAUAAUCUCCAUAAAUUACUCCUUUUCUACAUAAUAGAAUCCAUCAACUCGUAGCCUUCUUCCUAAGCUCGCCAUUCUAAGUCAUUUUAUGAAGAUCCCCUUCAAUAACUCAAUUUUUUGUGUCAUAACCCUAAUUGUUUCUUUUACCAUGCACAAAUAAUAGGUCUAAGAUUCUUAAAACCCUUCCAUAUUGUAGGACCAUGGCUAGUUUCCCCCAUUGCCUUAGACCAAGUUUUUGUAAUUAAAUUAUGAAGACUUUCCUUUUCCAUCUAGUAAUUAAACUCUUUAAACGACUUUGGAGCCCAAUUGAAAUUCAAUCCCCCUAACACCAUAAGAUUGUGAUAUGACAGGGAGCUAGGUAAACAUAACUGUAGCAUAUCUGGAUAGCAAUUUAGCCACUCAUUUUCAAUUAAAAUCUUGUCUAAACAUGAGAAUGCAACCUUUUCUCUCUUGUUGCUCCAUGUAAACUGUCCCUCAGAUAAUAGUAAUUCUACCGAAGCAAUUUCUUAGAUAGAAUUAGCAAACAAAGCAUCCGAUCUUGUAAAUUCAUACUUUCCCAUUCUUUCAUAAAUUGAUUUCACUACAUUAAAGUCCUAUCCAACACACCACCAAAUGUCUUUUUUUUUAAUCUCAUUCCAUAACACCAUCCAUAAUUUUUUUUGUUCAUGACCUUCAUCCGAUGCAUAGACAUUAAUGAACCCACAUCGCUCAUUUUGGCCAUAAACUCUCCUCGUUAGAAUAAUAAAAUUCCUAUCAACAAAUCAUUCUUCCUCUACCAAAAAUUAUCCUGCCACAAAGUAGAAGGACCACCUAACAAACCCUUUAUAUCCUCCCUACAACCUUGAACUUUACCUCAACCCCAAAUACUUUCAACAAAACACAACUUUUUUUUUAAAAUUUAGUCUCCUGCAAGAAUACUAUCGUAAGGCUUUCUUUAUUAAUAAUUCUUCUAAUAGCUUGCCUUUUUCCACCUUUACAUAUUCCACAAACAUUCCAUGUAAACAUUCUUAUUUAAAAAAUUCCACCCCACACAAAUCAAACAAACUAGUCGACUAAACUAGGUUAACCCUUUCUUCUUCCUUCAAACUCACUAGUGUAUCACUAAAUUCUUCCCUCGCAUUCUCGAAUGACAUACCCACAACUUUACCAACUUUCCAUGUUUUUACAGCUUCCAUCUUAUUAGUAUCUAAAGUGAAAUACUGUCACGACCCGGUACUCCCCUCGAGCUCGUGAUAGCCGUCGUGGUAUCCCGGUAGACACUCAUUGCUCGAAAUGUCAACCCGAAACCCCGCAAGGCUUUACUAUCAGUUUCUCAUUUCCCUUGUGAGCAACCAUUGUCAAAUAUCGUGUUCUAAAAGAUUUUAAACUGUUUCCAACUAAAAAUAAAUAAAAUAUUAAUUUUUGUCUCACAGGGGUAUUUUGGUCAUUUUUUUCUCAAAAUUUUCAAAACUAGCUAAAACGUAAUAUACAAGUAGAAAACACAUAAUUCAUAUUCAAAGUUUAAAAGUCUAAAAUCUUCAUUUAAAACGAAAUUACGGUUAUUUGAAUAUAAUAAGAAAAUAAAAGAAAUAUUAAGUAAAAUAUUCUAUUUUCUUAUAAAACAAUAUUUAUAGAGUUAUACGUGAAUAAUUUUUAUAGCGUAAAAGCUAAAUAAAUUUAUACAUACUUAAAUACAGUAAGUCAAAAUAUUUAAUUUAAUUUACAAUAACAAGAGGGCCCCCGAAUAAACAAAAGUAAAGAGGACUGUGAACUUACGGUUUGAAAAAUACAGAUCCAAUGGUAGUCUUUGAUGAGAUCAACUAUCUACAGCCUAUACUGAACCUGAAAUUGGUGGAAAGGAGGGUGGUGAGAUUAUAAAAUCCCAAUGAGUAAACAGACAUCAUCAUAAAUAUCUACAGUUGAGUACAUGGAGACAAUAAAAUAAAUCAUCGUAAACUGGGUCACAGCAUAAGAAUACAUUUCAUUUAAAAUAUGUAAAGAGGCUUAUGAAUCUCAUAAAAACUAGGCUUGUGCCAUAAAUCCAUUCUCGGGGACACCUUGGCCUAGGCAUCCGACCGAGACCGCCAAGGCUAUUAAAAUUCACAUUUCACAUAAAUCAUGUUUUUGUUUUGAAAACAUAGCCAUUCCUUGGCGUUGGUUGAGUUCCCCCUCAUGUGGUGGUUUGGCGUGAAGUGAACCUUAAGCUUUACCCCAGGAGAUACCUUACGUGCCUCUCCAUUCGAGGUAAGAAUACAAUGAAGUUUACUGUGCCCCUCUAAAAGGCUGGUCCACAGAAACCCCCUACUGCAGUGAUUAAUUAAUAUAUAUAAUCCACCAUACAAUAAAACUCAAUAACAUGAUAUGGCAAUUUUGUAAUUCACAAUCUUUCAAGGUAAUCAAACAAUUCGCAUUUCAAUACAAUUGCCAACUAGCCAAUCAUGCUCGAUUUAUCAUAAG
rnacentral:lncRNA from 1 species